rnacentral:rRNA from 1 species
GCCAAUUAAUUUAACUUGGGAGUCAGAACAUGGGUGAUAAGGUCCGUGUUCGAAAGGGAAACAGCCCAGACCACCAGCUAAGGUCCCAAAAUAUAUGUUAAGUGGAAAAGGAUGUGGCGUUGCCCAGACAACUAGGAUGUUGGCUUAGAAGCAGCCAUCAUUUAAAGAGUGCGUAAUAGCUCACUAGUCGAGUGACACUGCGCCGAAAAUGUACCGGGGCUAAACAUAUUACCGAAGCUGUGGAUUGUCCUUUGGACAAUGGUAGGAGAGCGUUCUAAGGGCGUUGAAGCAUGAUCGUAAGGACAUGUGGAGCGCUUAGAAGUGAGAAUGCCGGUGUGAGUAGCGAAAGACGGGUGAGAAUCCCGUCCACCGAUUGACUAAGGUUUCCAGAGGAAGGCUCGUCCGCUCUGGGUUAGUCGGGUCCUAAGCUGAGGCCGACAGGCGUAGGCGAUGGAUAACAGGUUGAUAUUCCUGUACCACCUAUAAUCGUUUUAAUCGAUGGGGGGACGCAGUAGGAUAGGCGAAGCGUGCGAUUGGAUUGCACGUCUAAGCAGUAAGGCUGAGUAUUAGGCAAAUCCGGUACUCGUUAAGGCUGAGCUGUGAUGGGGAGAAGACAUUGUGUCUUCGAGUCGUUGAUUUCACACUGCCGAGAAAAGCCUCUAGAUAGAAAAUAGGUGCCCGUACCGCAAACCGACACAGGUAGUCAAGAUGAGAAUUCUAAGGUGAGCGAGCGAACUCUCGUUAAGGAACUCGGCAAAAUGACCCCGUAACUUCGGGAGAAGGGGUGCUCUUUAGGGUUAACGCCCAGAAGAGCCGCAGUGAAUAGGCCCAAGCGACUGUUUAUCAAAAACACAGGUCUCUGCUAAACCGUAAGGUGAUGUAUAGGGGCUGACGCCUGCCCGGUGCUGGAAGGUUAAGAGGAGUGGUUAGCUUCUGCGAAGCUACGAAUCGAAGCCCCAGUAAACGGCGGCCGUAACUAUAACGGUCCUAAGGUAGCGAAAUUCCUUGUCGGGUAAGUUCCGACCCGCACGAAAGGCGUAACGAUUUGGGCACUGUCUCAACGAGAGACUCGGUGAAAUCAUAGUACCUGUGAAGAUGCAGGUUACCCGCGACAGGACGGAAAGACCCCGUGGAGCUUUACUGUAGCCUGAUAUUGAAAUUCGGCACAGCUUGUACAGGAUAGGUAGGAGCCUUUGAAACGUGAGCGCUAGCUUACGUGGAGGCGCUGGUGGG